AAUGAACGUUGGCGGCGUGGAUUAGGCAUGCAAGUCGUACGAAUCUCCUUUGGGCAACUGAAGGGGGGAAGUGGCGAAAGGGGACGAGUAAGGCGUGGGUAACUUGCCCCGGACGUCCGGAAUAGCCUUCCUAACGGAUGGAUAAUACCGGAUGCCGUAGUGAUGGGGCCUCCUGUUACUACGAAAGCUCCGGCGCUCUGGGAGAGGCCCACGUAGUAUUAGCUAGUUGGUGAGGUAACGGCUCACCAAGGCCAAGAUGCUUAGCAGGUGUGAGAGCACGACCUGCGCCACUGGCACUGGGACACUGGCCAGACUCCUACGGGAGGCUGCAGUCGAGGAUCUUCGGCAAUGGGCGCAAGCCUGACCGAGCGACGCCGCGUGGGCGAUGAAGGCCUU
rnacentral:rRNA from 1 species